UGAGUUGACCCUUCAAGAUGGUCCUUCACACAAAGCAGGCCUGAGCGACUUCCUUUGAUGGGCUUGCCGCAGAUUGGGCUUGGUGUUGCUUUAUGGUCCCAUGACUUACAUCCCAAUGACUCUGAAACUGCAAGAAACUAUCCAUUAUACUUCGUCUAUCCGAUUCAGCAAGGUCUGGUACCAAUGCCCAGCCAAGAAGCAGAUCAAUAAUGUCAAGAAAAUGAGGCUGGAAGCAUCUAGAAAAUUUUAACGAAAUCAAAGUCA
rnacentral:lncRNA from 1 species